ensembl:lncRNA
AUGGAUAUCUUGGGUCCAGAGAUGGAAGGCAUUUUGAAUUUAGGACCCUUGAUUUUACCUUCUGGCCCUUCAAUGUCAACCUCUGGCCCUUUCAAUUCAAUGUCUGCUUUGGGAAGGUUCAUGUCAACAUCAGGACCUUCAAUCUUUGGUCCUUUCAAUCCAAAUGAUGGCAUUUUAAUCUUUGGCAUCUUGAAUCCUCCCUCAGGGCUCUCAACAUCAAUGUCAGGACCUUCAAGUUUGACCUUUGGUGAUUUAAUAUCCCCUUCAACCUUAGGAACAGACACAUCCACAUCACCUUUCACUUUUGGUCCUUUCAGGUUGAAGUCAACUUCUGGCAUAGAUAUCUUGGGUCCAGAUAAAGAUGGCAUUUUGAACUUAGGACCCUUGAUUUUACCUUCUGGCCCUUCAAUGUCAAUCUCUGGAGCAUUCAUAUCAAUGUCUGCUUUGGAAAGGUUCAUGUCAACAUCAGGACCUUCAAUUUUUGGUCCUUUCAAUCCAAAUGAAGGCAUUUUAAUCUUUGGCAUCUUGAAUCCUCCAUCAGGGCUCUCAACAUCAAUGUCAGGACCUUCAAGUUUGACCUUUGGUGCUUUAAUAUCCCCUUCAACCUUAGGAACAGACACAUUCACAUCACCUUUCAGUUUUGGUCCUUUCAGGUUGAAGUCAACAUCUGGCAUAGAUAUCUUGGGUCCAGAGAUAGAUGGCAUUUUGAACUUAGGACCCUUGAUUUUACCUUCCGGCCCUUCAAUGUCAACAUCUGGAGCUUUCACAUCAAUGUCUACUUUUGGGAAAUUCAUGUCCAUAUCAAGACCUUCCAUCUUUGGUCCUUUCAAUCCAAAUGAUGGCAUUUUCAUUUUUGGCAUCUUGAAUCCUCCCUCAGGACCUUCAACAUCAAUAUCAGGACCUUCAACUUUGACCUUUGGUGCUUUAAUAUCUCCUUCAACCUUAGGAACAGACACAUCCACAUCACCUUUCACUUUUGGUCCUUUCAGAUUGAAGUCAACAUCUGGCAUAGAUAUCUUGGGUCCAGAAAUAGAUGGCAUUUUGAACUUAGGACCCUUGACUUUACCUUCUGGCCCUUCAAUCUCAAUUUCUGGAGCCUUCACAUCAAUGUCUGCUUUACGUAAGCUCAUGUCAAUAUCAGGACCUUCAACCUUUGGUCCCUUCAAUCCAAAUGAAGGCAUUUUAAACUUUGGCAUUUUAAAUCCUCCCUCAGGACCUUCAACAUCAAUAUCAGGACCUUCAACUUUGACAUUUGGUGCUUUAAUAUCCCCUUCAACCUUAGAAACAGACACAUCCAUAUCACCUUUGAUUUUUGGUCCUUUCAGAUUAAAGUCAACAUCUGGCAUGGAUAUCUUGGGUCCAGAGAUAGAUGGCAUUUUAAACGUAGGACCCUUGAUUUUACCUUCUGGCCCUUCAAUCUCAAUCUCUGGAGCUUUCACAUCAAUGUCUGGUUUGGGGAGAUUAGUGUCAACAUCAGGACAUUCAACCUUCGGUCCCUUGAAUCCAAAUGAAGGCAUUUUCAUUUUUGGCAUUUUGAAUCCUCCAUCAGGACCUUCAACAUCAAUAUCAGGAGCGUCAACUUUGACCUUUGGUGCUUUAAUAUCUCCUUCAACCUUAGGAGCAGACACAUCCAUAUCACCUUUGAUUUUUGGUCCUUUCAGAUUGAAGUCAACAUCUGGCAUAGAUAUCUUGGGUCCAGAUAAAGAUGGCAUUUUGAAUUUAGGACCCUUGAUUUUACCUUCUGGCCCUUCAAUCUCAAUCUCUGGAGCUGUCACAUCAAUGUCUGCUUUGGGAAGGUUCAUGUCAAAAUUUGGACCUUCAACCUUUGGUCCUUUCAAUCCAAAUGAAGGCAUUUUAAACUUUGGCAUUUUAAAUCCUCCCUCCGGACCUUCAACAUCAAUAUCAGGACCUUCAACUUUAACCAUUGGUGCCUUAAUAUCCCCUUCAAUCUUAGGAACAGACACAUCCAUAUCACCUUUGAUUUUUGGUCCUUUCAGAUUGAAGUCAACAUCUGGCAUGGAUAUCUUGGGUCCAGAGAUAGAUGGCAUUUUGAACUUAGGUCCCUUGAUUUUACCUUCUGGCCCUUCAAUGUCAACAUCUGGAGCUUUCACAUCAAUGUCUGCUUUGGGGAGGUUCAUGUCAAUGUCAGGACCUUCAACCUUCGGUCCCUUAGAUCCAAAUGAAGGCAUUUUCAUCUUUGGCAUUUUGAAUCCUCCAUCAGGACCUUCAACAUCAAUAUCAGAACCUUCAAGUUUGACCUUUGGUGCUUUAAUAUCUCCUUCAACCUUAGGAGCAGACAAAUCCAAAUCACCUUUGACUUUUGGUCCUUUCAGAUUGAAGUCAACAUCUGGCAUAGAUAUCUUGGGUCCAGAUAAAGAUGGCAUUUUGAAUUUAGAACCCUUGAUAUUACCUUCUGGCCCUUCAAUCUCAAUCUCUGGAGCUUUCACAUCAAUUUCUGCUUUAGGAAGGUUCAUGUCAACAUCAGGACCUUCCAUCUUUGGUCCUUUCAAUCCAAACGAAGGCAUUUUAAUCUUUGGCAUCUUGAAUCCUCCCUCAGGACCUUCAACAUCAAUAUCAGGACCUUCAACUUUGACCUUCGGUGCUUUAAUAUCCCCUUCAACCUUAGGAACAGACACAUCCAAAUCACCUUUGAUUUUUGGACCUUUCAGAUUAAAGUCAACAUCUGGCAUUGAAAUCUUAGGUCCAGAGAUAGAUGGCAUUUUGAACUUAGGUCCCUUGACUUUACCUUCUGGCCCUUCAAUGUCAACAUCUGGAGCUUUCACAUCAAUGUCUGCUUUGGGGAGGUUCAUGUCAAAAUCAGGACCUUCAACCUUUGGUCCCUUGAAUCCAAAUGAAGGCAUUUUCAUCUUUGGCAUUUUGAAUCCUCCCUCAGGACCUUCAACAUCAAUAUCAGGACCCUCAACAUUGACCUUUGGUGCUUUAAUAUCUCCUUCAACCUUAGGAGCAGACAUAUCCACAUCACCUUUGAUUUUUGGUCCUUUCAGAUUGAAGUCAACAUCUGGCAUAGAUAUCUUGGGUCCAGAGAUAGAUGGCAUUUUGAACUUAGGUCCCUUGAUUUUACCUUCUGGCCCUUCAAUGUCAACAUCUGGAGCUUUCACAUCAAUGUCUGCUUUGGGGAGGUUCAUGUCAAUGUCAGGACCUUCAACCUUUGGUCCCUUGAAUCCAAAUGAAGGCAUUUUUAUCUUUGGCAUUUUGAAUCCUCCAUCAGGACCUUCAACAUCAAUAUCAGGAGCUUCAACUUUGACCUUUGGUGCUUUAAUAUCUCCUUCAACCUUAGGAGCAGACACAUCCACAUCACCUUUGACUUUUGGUCCUUUCAGAUUAAAGUCAACAUCUGGCAUUGAUAUCUUAGGUCCAGAGAUAGAUGGCAUUUUGAACUUAGGUCCCUUGAUUUUACCUUCUGGCCCUUCAAUGUCAACAUCUGGAGCUUUCACAUCAAUGUCUGCUUUGGGGAGGUUCAUGUCAAAAUCAGGACCUUCAACCUUUGGUCCCUUGAAUCCAAAUGAAGGCAUUUUCAUCUUUGGCAUUUUGAAUCCUCCAUCAGGACCUUCAACAUCAAUAUCAGGACCUUCAACUUUGACCUUUGGUGCUUUAAUAUCUCCUUCAACCUUAGAAGCAGACACAUCCACAUCACCUUUGACUUUUGGUCCUUUCAGAUUGAAGUCAACAUCUGGCAUAGAUAUCUUGGGUCCAGAGAUAGAUGGCAUUUUGAACUUAGGUCCCUUGAUUUUACCUUCUGGCCCUUCAAUCUCAAUAUCUGGAGCUUUCACAUCAAUGUCUGCUUUGGGAAGGUUCAUGUCAACAUCAGAACCUUCAAUCUUUGGUGCUUUAAUAUCUCCUUCAACCUUAGAAGCAGACACAUCCACAUCACCUUUGACUUUUGGUCCUUUCAGAUUGAAGUCAACAUCUGGCAUAGAUAUCUUGGGUCCAGAGAUAGAUGGCAUUUUGAACUUAGGUCCCUUGAUUUUACCUUCUGGCCCUUCAAUCUCAAUAUCUGGAGCUUUCACAUCAAUGUCUGCUUUGGGAAGGUUCAUGUCAACAUCAGAACCUUCAAUCUUUGGUCCUUUCAAUCCAAACGAAGGCAUUUUAAUCUUUGGCAUUUUGAAACCUCCUUCAGGGCUCUCAACAUCAAUGUCAGGACCUUCAAGUUUGACCUUUGGUGCUUUAAUAUCUCCUUCAACCUUAGGAGAUAUCUUAGGAACAGACACAUCCACAUCACUUUUGAUUUUUGGUCCUUUCAGAUUGAAGUCAACAUCUGGCAUAGAUAUCUUGGGUCCAGAUAAAGAUGGCAUUUUGAAUUUAGGACCCUUGAUUUUCCCUUCUGGCCCUUCAAUCUCCAUCUCUGGAGCUUUCACAUCAAUGUCUCCUUUGGGAAGGUUCAUGUCAACAUCAGGGACUUCCAUCUUUGGUCCUUUCAAUCCAAACGAAGGCAUUUUAAUCUUUGGCAUCUUGAAUCCUCCCUCAAGACCUUCAACAUCAAUAUCAGGACCUUCAACUUUGACCUUUGGUGCUUUAAUAUCUCCUUCAACCUUAGGAGCAGACACAUCCACAUCACCUUUGAUUUUUGGUCCUUUCAGAUUGAAGUCAACAUCUGGCAUAGAUAUCUUGGGUCCAGAUAAAGAUGGCAUUUUGAACUUAGGACUCUUGAUUUUACCUUCUGGCCCUUCAAUCUCAAUCUCUGGAGCUUUCACAUCAAUGUCUGCUUUGGGAAGGUUCAUGUCAAUAUCAGGACCUUCCAUCUUUGGUCCUUUCAAUCCAAACGACGGCAUUUUAAUCUUUGGCAUCUUGAAUCCUCCCUCAAGACCUUCAACAUCAAUAUCAGGACCUUCAACUUUGACCUUUGGUGCUUUAAUAUCUCCUUCAACCUUAGGAGCAGACACAUCCACAUCACCUUUGAUUUUUGGUCCUUUCAGAUUGAAGUCAACAUCUGGCAUAGAUAUCUUGGGUCCAGAUAAAGAUGGCAUUUUGAACUUAGGACCCUUGAUUUUACCUUCUGGCCCUUCAAUCUCAAUCUCUGGAGCUUUCACAUCAAUGUCUGCUUUGGGAAGGUUCAUGUCAAUAUCAGGACCUUCCAUCUUUGGUCCUUUCAAUCCAAAUGAAGGCAUUUUAAUCUUUGGCAUCUUGAAUCCUCCCUCAGGACCUUCAACAUCAAUAUCAGAACCUUCAAUUUUGACCUUUGGUGCUUUAAUAUCCCCUUCAACCUUAGGAACAGACACAUCCACAUCACCUUUGAUUUUUGGUCCUUUCAGAUUAAAGUCAACAUCUGGCAUAGACAUCUUGGGUCCAGAUAAAGAUGGCAUUUUGAAUUUAGGUCCCUUGAUUUUACCUUCUGGCCCUUCAAUGUCAACAUCUGGAGCUGUCACAUCAAUGUCUGCUUUAGGGAAGUUUAUGUCAAAAUCCGGACCUUCAACCUUUGGUCCUUUCGAUCCAAACGAAGGCAUUUGAAUCUUUGGCAUCUUGAAACCUCCCUCAGGACCUUCAACAUCAAUAUCAGGACCUUCAAUUUUGACCUUUGGUGCUUUAAUAUCCCCUUCAACCUUAGGAACAGACACAUCCACAUCACCUUUGAUUUUUGGUCCUUUCAGAUUGAAGUCAACAUCUGGCAUGGAUAUCUUGGGUCCAGAGAUAGAUGGCAUUUUGAAUUUAGGACUCUUGAUUUUACCUUCUGGCCCUUCAAUCUCAACAUCUGGAGCUUUCACAUCAAUGUCUGCUUUAGGUAAGUUCAUGUCAAUAUCAGGACCUUCAACCUUCGGUCCCUUGAACCCAAAUGAAGGCAUUUUCAUCUUUGGCAUUUUGAAUCCUCCCUCAGGACCUUCAACAUCUAUAUCAGGACCUUCAAGUUUGACCUUUGGUGCUUUAAUAUCUCCUUCAACCUUAGGAACAGACACAUCCACAUCACUUUUCACUUUUGGUCCUUUCAGGUUGAAGUCAACUUCUGGCAUAGAUAUCUUGGGUCCAGAUAAAGAAGGCAUUUUGAACUUAGGUCCCUUGAUUUUACCUUCUGGCCCUUCAAUGUCAACAUCUAGAGCUUUCGCAUCAAUGUCUGCUUUAGGUAAGUUCAUGUCAAUAUCAGGACCUUCAACCUUCGGUCCCUUGAAUCCAAAUGAAGGCAUUUUCAUCUUUGGCAUUUUGAAUCCUCCAUCAAGACCUUCAACAUCAAUAUCAGGACCUUCAACUUUGACCUUUGGUGCUUUAAUAUCUCCUUCAACCUUAGGAGCAGACACAUCCAUAUCACCUUUAAUUUUUGGUGCUUUUAGAUUGAAGUCAACAUCUGGCAUAGAUAUCUUGGGUCCAGAUAAAGAUGGCAUUUUGAAUUUAGGACCCUUGAUUUUACCUUCUGGCCCUUCAAUCUCAAUCUUUGGAGCAUUCAUAUCAAUGUCUGCUUUGGGGAGGUUCAUGUCAACAUCAGGACCUUCAACCUUCGGUCCCAUUAAUCCAAAUGAAGGCAUUUUAAUCUUUGGCAUCUUGAAUCCUCCCUCAGGACCUUCAACAUCUAUAUCAGGACCUUCAAGUUUGACCUUUGGUGCUUUAAUAUCUCCUUCAACCUUAGGAACAGACACAUCCACAUCACUUUUCACUUUUGGUCCUUUCAGGUUGAAGUCAACUUCUGGCAUAGAUAUCUUGGGUCCAGAUAAAGAAGGCAUUUUGAACUUAGGUCCCUUGAUUUUACCUUCUGGCCCUUCAAUGUCAACAUCUAGAGCUUUCACAUCAAUGUCUGCUUUAGGGAGGUUCAUGUCAACAUCAGGACCUUCAACCUCCGGUCCCUUGAAUCCAAAUGAAGGCAUUUUAAUCUUUGGCAUCUUGAAUUCUCCCUCAGGACCUUCAACAUCAAUAUCAGGACCUUCAACUUUGACCUUUGGUGCUUUAAUAUCCCCUUCAACCUUAGAAACAGACACAUCCACAUCACCUUUGAUUUUUGACCCUUUCAGAUUGAAGUCAACAUCUGGCAUGGAUAUCUUGGGUCCAGAGAUAGAUGGCAUUUUGAACUUAGGACCCUUGAUUUUACCUUCUGGCCCUUCAAUCUCAAUCUGUGGAGCUUUCACGUUAAUGUCUGCUUUGGCAAGGUUCAUGUCAACAUCAGGACCUUCCAUCUUUGGUCCUCUUAAUCCAAAUGACGGCAUUUUCAUCUUUGGCAUCUUGAAUCCUCCCUCAGUACCUUCAACAUCAAUGUCAGGACCUUCAACUUUGACCUUUGAAGCUCUCAUAUCUCCUUCAACCUUAGGAACAGACACAUCCACAUCACUUUUCACUUUUGGCCCUUUCAGGUUUAAGUCAACAUCUGGCAUAGAUAUCUUGGGUCCAGAGAUAGAUGGCAUUUUGAUCUUAGGUCCCUUGAUUUUACCUUCUGGCCCUUCAAUGUCAACAUCUGGAGCUUUCACAUCAACGUCUGCUUUAGGGAAGUUGAUGUCAACAUCAGAACCUUCAACCUUUGGUCCCUUCAAUCCAAAUGAUGGCAUUUUCAUCUUUGGCAUUUUGAAUCCUCCCUCAGGACCUUCAACAUCAACGUCAGGACCUUCAACUUUGACCUUUGGUGCUUUAAUAUCACCUUCGAUCUUAGGAACAGACACAUCAACAUCAGCUUUCACUUUUGGUCCUUUCAGAUUGAAGUCAACAUCUGGCAUGGAUAUCUUGGGUCCAGAUAUGGAAGGCAUUUUGAUCUUGAGACCUUUGAUGUUGCCUCCUGGCCCUUCAAUGUCAACAUCUGGACCUUUGACAUCAAUGUCGGCUUUAGAUAAGUUUGCAUGAACAUCAGGACCUUCAACCUUUGGUCCUUUCAAUCCAAAUGAAGGCAUUUUCAUCUUUGGCAUCUUGAAGCCUCCAUCUGGACCUUCAAUAUCAACUUCAGGACCUUCAACUUUGACCUUUGGUGCUUUAAUAUCCCCUUCAACCUUAGGAACAGACACAUCCACAUCACUUUUGAUUUUUGGUCCUUUCAGAUUGAAGUCAACAUCUGGCAUGGAUAUUUUGGGCCCAGAGACAGAUGGCAUUUUGAAUUCAGGACCCUUGAUUUUACUUUCCGGCCCUUCAAUGUCCACCUCUGGACCUUUCAAAGUCAUGUCUGCUUUAGAGAGGUUCAUGUCCACAUCAGGACUUUCGACAUUUGUUCCCUUCAAUCCAAAUGAAGGCAUUUUAAUCUUUGGCAUCUUGAAACCUCCUUCUGGACCUUCAACAUCAAUGUCAAGACCUUUAACUUUAACCUUUGGUGAUUUAAUAUCCCCUUCAAUUCUAUGAACAGACACAUCCGUAUCACCUUUAAUUUUUUGUCCUUUCAGAUUGAAGUCAACAUCUGACAUGGAUAUCUUGGGUCCAGAGAUAGUUGGAAUUUUAAACUUAGAACCAUUGAUUUUGCCUUGUGGUCCUUCAGUGUCAGCCUCUGGACCUUUCACACUAAUGUCUGCUUUAGGGAGGUUCAUGUCAAAAUCCGAACUUUCAACCUUUUGUCCCUUCAAUCCAAAUGAAGGCAUUUCCAUCUUUGGCAUCUUGAAUCCUCCUUCAUCUGGCAUGGAUAUAUUGGGUCCAGAAAUUGAGGAUAUAUUGACCUUAGAUUUAUUGCUGUUCAUUUUUUCAGUGUCAACAUUUUGCCCUUUAAUAUCUAAUUCUGGACCUUUCUUGUCAGUCACAGUUUUAAUCUCAACCUCAGAACCUUUAGCUGUUGGACCUUUCAUUACAGAUGAAGGUAUUCCAGUUUUAUGUGUUCCAUGAUGUUCUUCAGUGUUAAUUCCUUUUCCUUUCAAAUUAACACCAGCAUUAGACAUGGAAAUGGUUGUACCAGAGCUGAAUGGAAUUUUCAUGUGAGUCCCGUCAACACCUUCAACAUUUAUACCUGGACAUGUAAUGGCUACACUAGUCUGAGUGUUAUUCACAUUUUGCAUGCUCUCAGGUCUCGUUAUACCAGAUGCUGCAUCUUUAAUGUGUACAUGUGGCGCAGUAAUAUCUCCCUCAUUCUUGUUCAGAGACACAUCUCCAUCAUGUUUAACAGCAAUUUCAUUCCAGCUAGACAACUUGGAUGUUCUGAUUUCUCCCUCUUGGCCACUGAUGUUAAUUUUAGAGACAUCGUUGCUUUUUUGAGAGACAUUAAUGGUGGCAUUUGUAUCGGACACUGUAGGUCCUUUCAAUUGCCCUUUUACAAAAAAUCCAGCUCUGGAAAUCGAAUAACCAGAAUCUUUUACAUCAGGAGCAGUUACUGACUGACCUGUUGAAACCGGUAAAUUCACAUUUGCAUUUGUUACCGUGAUGUCUGUGGCUGAUGUCUUAUCACUGAUGUGAACAGGGAUGCUAAUCUGAGGUCCACUGUUUAUUGCUUUCCCAUACUGAUCCCUGACACUCACUUCAGUGUCCCUGUUUCCUCUAUUUAUGUCUAAUCUUGUGCCUAUAUUUCCCAAGUCUCCAUAUUGAGUCUGUCCCUUUCCACCAGUGCCAGUAAUUGUAAAUGUGAGCUCUUUUCCACCCCCCUCAAUUUCUCUUGUAACAGUUGUUCUAGCAUGUCCUGAACUAAAUUGUUUUUCAGAGGAGCCAGUGGCAAGUGAGCCUUUAGCCAAGACCCCAAAAUCACCUUCAUCAGCAACUAUCCUGCUUACAAGACCACCGUGGGGUAAUCUUAUUUGUGUAGGGCUUUCCCCUGAUAGUUCACUUUGCGGAAUCUGAAUCUUUAACUCUGGGCUAGAUGAGUCUAACUGUUGUUCUCCAUGGCCACCUGGUAUGUCCACAGUGUAUGUAGUAAUUCGACGUGUGAUGGUGGUAAUAGUGUUCCCAUCGCUGCUGGUGCUGCUGUGACGUUCUGUGCGCACGUCUACACCUUCUGCAAGAUCCUCUGACUUGAGUCUGGGCUUGAUCUUUUUAGUGUAAAUUCUCAUGUAGUCUUCAUCAUCUCCACUCUAAAAGCAAAAAAAAAAUACACAAUGAGAAAAAGCUGCAGCAUAUAGUACAAUAAAGAUAACCAAAAUUAAUAAAAACA